UUUUCAGCUCAGCUGGCAGCCCUCAAAUUGCUGUUUUCUCCUGAAGUCUGCAGGCCUUGCUGGCAGAACGAAGGAGUUUAGGGGAAUUUUAUAGACACUUCAGAUAAGCACCUGAAAUUUGGGAAGCUGCGGCUCUGAACCUGCAGUCGGGCAGCUUGUCUGUCUCAGCGUGAUGAUCCAUUUCCAAGUUCCUUCCUUCCUUUGCAGGGCAUGCCUUCGAACCAGCCUGCCUUCCUCUGGGAAAUCAGCGGACUUCCCAAUCCCCGACUGCUUGCAGAUAACCAGAGGCUUUUGCAGGAAUGAAAGGGAGGUAGCACUAUCUAAGCAGGCUAGAGGAUGGAGCAGACAGAGCCAGGACUCCUGGGUUUUGUUCGUGCUGCUGCUAUAGUCUUGCUGUGUCAUCGUAAUCAAUUUAGCUGUGGAACAGGGAGUUUUUUUUCCUCCCAUCUGUAUGACGGGGACAUUAUUUACCUGCUUCUUGUAAAGCCCAUUCAUAUCCUGAUCCAUUCAUAUCCAAGCUCCUGUGGGAGCCCGAUCCAUCAAUGGGGGUGGGUCAGACCCUGCGGGAUGGCAUUUUAGAAGGGAUAAAUAGCAAUAAGGAGUUCGGAUCAUUAUUUUGAAUUUGUCCAUGCAGGAGUGGAAAUUGCAGGGUGUUCUGAGUGCCCAUCUCACCCUGGAAAUGCUGCACACUUAAGAGCAACAUUUUAUUUAUGCCUCUAUUUAUAGACAGGGCUCCCAGGCGUGCUGUCCUGUGAUGCGUGCCUCCUGUUUCCCAGUGGAGGGAGCAGCAUCCGACCACUGUCUCUAGGAAAAGACUGGAACUGCCCCAAAGCAUUGAGGCACCAGGUCAGCUUAUGGCAGCAAUGAGGCCUCUUCAGGGAAGGCGCAUGGAGUUCAACACCAAGUGCCGUGAGUGUCUUUCCUUGGGGCUGCCGCCCUCCAAAACCAACCUCUCAGGUAGAACUGAUGGAGCAUUUGUAUUAGGUUGCAUUUGGGAUAAGCCUACACUGCAGUCACCGAUGCAACUGCAGUGCUACGUAGACCUUCCCAAGCCAGCUCUCAACCCGCUGGCUUGGGAAUCUGGUACCAGCUUAGCUCUGGCAGUAUGAUGCUCAGUGGUCGCUUGUAAAACCCAUCCAAGAAGCAGGGUAAAUGACCCUAGUCUGAGCUCAGCGCUUCUCUGACUGGCGCACAAGCUAGCUAGUUGGAUCCAGCUGGGGGACAGAAAUUCUCCCUUCACUUGUAUGAGGUGAGGAUCCCUGAGAGGUCCCAGAGAAGCUGGGGGAGCUUACAAAGUUAUAAAAAUUACCAGCCCUGCAAAACACAGCCUGCAUCAUAGGGAUACUUAUACUUAUUGUUGUCUUUCCUGGGGCAUAAAAGCAGAAUGAGAAGACCAGGUCUCCUGUCUGUGCAGGGGGUCUCUUCUCACAGCGCUGCUAGAAAGCCUUGUGUCGCUCGAAGGCACCGCUCUCCUGUUGCAGCACCCAGGUGAUAAUGAAGUGAUCUAGGAGUUGAAGCUGACACACAUUCUAGACAGCCGCGCUGAGUCCUCUCGUCCCUGGAAUUUGUCAUCCAAUUACCAGGAUGGUAGCUGGAAGCCGGCUGCCUACAAACCAGGUUAAUAAUAGUUAGUGACAUCAUUGUUUCAUGAGAGAUCAAUGAGAUUUUGCAGAGGAAAAAAGGAGCGAUGGGAGAAAGGGGGCAAAAUAAAAGGUCUGUUAAGGGGAAUUGUAGGCUGAUGCAGCAUGGAAGUCCCUGGGGCAGCAGGCGUCGUGUAUGUUGGUCCAGUGCCCGGUGUGGAUGAAACAUCAAGGCACUGAUGAAAUAUAAGUCCAAAUGAAUGGGGAAUAGUCACCAGUACUACCAUCCCUGUGGGGAGGUCUCCCUCUACCUUGAAUCUCCACUGGAUCCUCUGAGGACCUCAAAAGCUCCUACAAAUCCUUGAAUUCCCCAUGCACCCUUGAGGAAGGAUGGCUUUACUACCUUGGAACUGGGGCAUGUUGGUAAAGCAGCCAAGGAGAAACCCAUUGCCCAUAUUGUGAUACCAUCCACCCUUGGAGCUGUGGUUACAUCUGACCCCCAGUGCUAGGAGGUUCCUGCAAGGCUUCCUUCUCCCUCCCGUGGGGAGGAGGAGGUGGACUAUGCAUUGGCCACGCUCAAAGCAUGAAACAAUGUGGUGCCACCUUUACUGAGGAUGGCUUAGCAGCUUGCGUGGCAAGCAGUCCCAUCAAAGCCAGUGAGCGGUUAAGCUGUAACAAUAGCUUUUCUGUCCUGAGUGAGGGGCAGUAUGAAGCUGUGUGACCCUGGGAGCAGGCAUCUAGAGAACCACAAUCCCCACCUGGCCCUGGGAGAAGGUGCUUCACUUCUUGUCUUUACUAUGUACCAGGCUAACUGAUCUGGGUAGAGUAAGUAGAAACAAGAGGUACUCCUUCCUCUGCCCCUCUGUGCCCACCGUCUCACAGUGGGAAGUAGCCACGGCUCCCCCAUCUCAGUCAGACCCGAGCCAGGGCAACACACGCUAGGAUAAUCAAAGAUGAUCCCGGCUGGAUGCAUGUGAGGCAGAACCAGGCCCUUGGAAGAUGUGCAAGGAACAAACUUUAAUAAGAGUGUAUUGCAGAGAUGAGCAGGGGAGACAUUAAUCAGAUUUAAUGAGGUUCCAAUAUAAUAUCCCCGUAUUGGAGAUAAAACGCACAACUGUGGGUAGGGAAGCAGCGAUGGACGGAAGCAAUGCAGAGAGAACCGGGCACAGCACCUCCUGCAAAAUUAAAGAGGAUCAUUUGCUUGUGAUGCAGUAGUUAGAAGGUAAAUGCAAUCUUGGGAUGCAUAACCAGGGGCGUUGUGUGUAAGGGCAGGGAAGUAAUCCUUUCCCUCUAGCACGAUGCUAGUUAAACUGCAGCUGGAGUCAUGCAGAAGGCUUUGGGCAACGUACGGCAGAAAGGAGAGAGAGAAAUAGCUAGGAGAGUAGAUGGCAGCCACUAGAAUGAUAAAGGGUUUAGAGGGAAUGACUGUGAGGAAAGAGAUUAGGGAAAAUUAAACUUGUACAGGCUGGAAAAAGAGGCUGUGGGGGAAUAUGAUUUUGGCCAACGCGUACAGACAGACGCUGCAAAGAAGCAGAAAAUUGUUCUCGUUAUUUAACAGUGAAGAGCCUAGAAGCAAUGGGGGGAAAAUGAGCAAGAGGAUAGAGUGGCUUAAAGGGCCAGAAAGAUAUUUGUGGUGGUACCAAGAGGUGCCAGGGGAAUGGGGCCCAAGUUGUGGCAGCUCACCACGUUCUGGUUGGGUAGAUACCUACUGGCCAUGGGGAUGAUGCCUCAGGUAGCUGGAGAACAGAGCUGAGAAUUGUGGGAUCUCUGUGAGCAAAUUGCUUUGUGCUGCUGUGCCUCAGUUUCCCCAGCAUUAACCUGAGAUCAGUGAGUCCUUUCCAAGGGGAUUGCUUGGCUUCGAGUGUGCGAUGCCUGGGAGCUUCCAAAGAUACCAUGGAGCUGCAGUAGGAGAUGGGCAUCUAACUCCUCGAGGAUCCUUUGAUCAUAGAUGUUUCCUUUCCUUGGGAAUGGCUAAGCAUUCAUCUGUAGGCACCCCUAGCAAAUGACAUGAAUAAUUCCAGAGGAAAUGAAGGAUCCCAUUUGAAACUGAGAACUGGGGUCAGCUGAAUGUUUCCAGCAUCGCCGAAAGCCACGGAUACGGGAUCCAAACUCUGAACGGGGUCACAGCAGCUUCGGAAUAGCAGGGAGGAGAAUCAAGGGAGGAGAAAGUGGCUCACAAGCAAAUAUCCAAAGCAGAGCAGGAGCGUUGACUUCCAAGUGCCUUGAGAAGCAGCUGGUGAAAUCGCAUGUGAAAUAUCACAGCAUUACGGCAAGAGCGGUGACGAGGUGUAAGGCUGUGAUUGUAAUAAAGACAGACAUGGGUCUUUACCGCGUUCAGACAGAUGCUUUGAUUGACUGGCUGAGGUUCAAUGCUAGGGGC